AUUGAACGCUGGCGGCAGGCCUAACACAUGCAAGUCGAGCGGAUGAAGGGAGCUUGCUCCUGGAUUCAGCGGCGGACGGGUGAGUAAUGCCUAGGAAUCUGCCUGGUAGUGGGGGAUAACGUCCGGAAACGGGCGCUAAUACCGCAUACGUCCUGAGGGAGAAAGUGGGGGAUCUUCGGACCUCACGCUAUCAGAUGAGCCUAGGUCGGAUUAGCUAGUUGGUGGGGUAAAGGCCUACCAAGGCGACGAUCCGUAACUGGUCUGAGAGGAUGAUCAGUCACACUGGAACUGAGACACGGUCCAGACUCCUACGGGAGGCAGCAGUGGGGAAUAUUGGACAAUGGGCGAAAGCCUGAUCCAGCCAUGCCGCGUGUGUGAAGAAGGUCUUCGGAUUGUAAAGCACUUUAAGUUGGGAGGAAGGGAAGUAAGUUAAUACCUUGCUGUUUUGACGUUACCGACAGAAUAAGCACCGGCUAACUUCGUG
rnacentral:rRNA from 1 species